rnacentral:hammerhead_ribozyme from 1 species
AUUCAGAUGACGAGUCCCAAAUGGGGCGAAAUGCACAUCCUGGAU